rnacentral:rRNA from 1 species
GACGAACGCUGGCGGCGUGCUUAACACAUGCAAGUCGAACGGAAAGGCCCUGCUUUUGUGGGGUGCUCGAGUGGCGAACGGGUGAGUAACACGUGAGUAACCUGCCCUUGACUUUGGGAUAACUUCAGGAAACUGGGGCUAAUACCGGAUAGGAGCUCCUGCUGCAUGGUGGGGGUUGGAAAGUUUCGGCGGUUGGGGAUGGACUCGCGGCUUAUCAGCUUGUUGGUGGGGUAGUGGCUUACCAAGGCUUUGACGGGUAGCCGGCCUGAGAGGGUGACCGGCGACAUUGGGACUGAGAUACGGCCCAGACUCCUACGGGAGGCAGCAGUGGGGAAUAUUGCACAAUGGGCGGAAGCCUGACGCAGCAACGCCGCGUGCGGGAUGACGGCCUUCGGGUUGUAAACCGCUUUCGCCUGUGACGAAGCGUGAGUGACGGUAAUGGGUAAAGAAGCACCGGCUAACUACGUG